rnacentral:tRNA from 1 species
ACUUGGCUGGCUCAGUUGGCAGAGUUUGUGAUUCUUGAUCUCAGGAUUGUAGGUUCAAGUCCCAUGUUGGGUG